GAUGAACGCUGGCGGCGUGCCUAAUACAUGCAAGUCGAGCGAACAGAUAAGGGGCUUGCUCCUUUGACGUUAGCGGCGGACGGGUGAGUAACACGUGGGUAACCUACCUAUAAGACUGGAAUAACUCCGGGAAACCGGGGCUAAUGCCGGAUAACAUGUUGAACCGCAUGGUUCUACAGUGAAAGGCGGCUUUGCUGUCACUUAUAGAUGGACCCGCGCCGUAUUAGCUAGUUGGUGAGGUAACGGCUCACCAAGGCAACGAUACGUAGCCGACCUGAGAGGGUGAUCGGCCACACUGGAACUGAGACACGGUCCAGACUCCUACGGGAGGCAGCAGUAGGGAAUCUUCCGCAAUGGGCGAAAGCCUGACGGAGCAACGCCGCGUGAGUGAUGAAGGUCUUCGGAUCGUAAAACUCUGUUAUUAGGGAAGAACAAAUGCGUAAGUAACUGUGCGCGUCUUGACGGUACCUAAUCAGAAAGCCACGGCUAACUACGUG
rnacentral:rRNA from 1 species